UUGAGGGCAAGUCUGGUGCCAGCAGCCGCGGUAAUUCCAGCUCCAAUAGCGUAUAUUAAAGUUGUUGCAGUUAAAAAGCUCGUAGUUGAAUUUCGGGAUUAGUACGCUGGUCGUGCCUUCGGUACGUACUGGUGUUACUGAUUUCUACCUUCUGACGAACCAUCAUGUCAUUUAUUUGGUGUGGUGGGGAAUCAGGACUGUUACUUUGAAAAAAUUAGAGUGUUUAAAGCAGGCUAACGCUUGAAUACAUUAGCAUGGAAUAAUGAAAUAGGACGUUCGAUCCUAUUUUGUUGGUUUCUAGGAUUGACGUAAUGAUUAAUAGGGAUAGUUGGG
rnacentral:misc_RNA from 1 species